rnacentral:rRNA from 1 species
CCUACGGGGGGCUGCAGUGGGGAAUAUUGGACAAUGGGCGAAAGCCUGAUCCAGCCAUGCCGCGUGUGUGAAGAAGGCCUUCGGGUUGUAAAGCACUUUCAGUGGGGAAGAAAGCCUUGGGGCUAAUACCCUCGAGGAAGGACAUCACCCACAGAAGAAGCACCGGCUAACUCCGUGCCAGCAGCCGCGGUAAUACGGAGGGUGCGCGCGUUAAUCGGAAUUACUGGGCGUAAAGCGCGCGUAGGCGGUCUGAUAAGCCGGUUGUGAAAGCCCCGGGCUCAACCUGGGAACGGCAUCCGGAACUGUCAGGCUAGAGGGCAGGAGAGGAAGGUAGAAUUCCCGGUGUAGCGGUGAAAUGCGUAGAGAUCGGGAGGAAUACCAGGGGCGAAGGCGGCCUUCUGGACUGACACUGACGCUGAGGUGCGAAAGCGUGGGUAGCAAACAGGAUUAGAUACCCCAGUAGUC